CCCUUGGAUCAAGGAGGUGCAUAUCAAAAUGAAUUAUAAUAUCAGAUCAAACAUUUACGGUUGCCAAUCGUACUGUUGAUUGCGGUUUCCAACCAUCAUGUUUGAGCCUUGAUCUGCUGCAGAGCCAAACAUCAAAUAACUCAUAAUUUCAUUUUUUAUAUAAUUGAACAAGAAAUAUAAUGAAAAUGGGAGUUCUACAGACUUGAGAAUGGCCUGGAUGCUUUCUCACGGUGUUCAUGCUUCCUGCCAUCGGUUGAGCGACGACACUUCAACUGCUAGGAGAACACGACGGUGGAACCGUGUGGUACAGAGCCGCGAAGGAUGAGAAUGGUGUUUUGGGUCCUAAGCUAGGUUUUUGCACAACCGUGCGAAGGUAGCAGUUUGCUUGGAGGAGGAGGGGAGGAGGGUGACGGCAGGAGGAGUAUGGUUUUGAGAAGGAAAUAGGGAUUAGUUUUUCUCUUAAUGAAAUUAUAUAAACAUCCUCACUAAAGGGUCUUAAUGGGGGUUAAUGGGUUUGCGGGUGAACUUAAAAUAACCCGUAAAAUAACGGGUGAUUAAUAGGUCCAUCUGUUAACAAUCCGACUCAUUAAGCUUCCACUCAAAUGCUGAUUUUAAUGGGUGGGGUCAGAUCGGGUUGACAGGUUGGGUCCAAAAUGCCACCUUUACUUAGUAUUACGGUAUAGUAGUAUUCUUAUUUACUUGUAAAUAACAGGUCUUAGAUGCGCCCAAAUUCUUGAAUGGAGACAACUAUGCUACUUGGAGUUGUGCUAUGAUUAUUAGUUACAGUUCCAAGAACAAAAUGGGCACCACUAUAAUAGUCCGUGACCGCCUUAUCGGAUUUAAGCUUGAAAGCCUCCGCCUCAAGGGAGAAGCCUUGGUAAUGUGAUUUCUGUUGGCUCAAUUCAAGCCCAGGUCAUAUUAUGUUUGUGUACGAUUGCUAGGACCUUUUUGGCUUUGGCGUUAUUGUGGUGGCUAGAUUAGGAGUAAUGUUCUUUCACAAACGAAAUACGCACUGGAGAUCAUAAAGGAUGCAUGCUAUCUUGGUGCCCAACCAACGUCACUUCCCAUAGAACAAAACUUGUCCCUUGGUAAAAAUGACGAGAGUGCACUGAUGGCCCAUUAUCAUAUCGGAGACUUGUUAGACAUCUAUUUAAAAUGUGCCCUGCAAAUUCAAUUGCAUGAAAGAACAAGGCAUGAAUUUCAAAGUUUUAAUCUCUUUAGCAACUCAGUGUAAUUUCAAGACGUUUGAAUCAAAAUUCCAAGGAGAGAUGUAAAGAGAGAUUAAGACAAGAAUUUAAAAUUAUAUGAUCUGAAAAAGCUAGAACCCAAAAAUUCAAAAGUUUGGUGAGAGAUCUUAUUUUGUAUGUUACCUUUAAGGACAUGUAAUGUUGAUCCCUUUUAAAAGUCACAACAUUUCAAAAUUUCUGAAAGUGUCCUUCAAGAAUAUGACAUUCCACAUAAAUCUACGGAAACCAGUGGGGUCAAUGGCCCCAUAUGAACUGAAUUACU
rnacentral:lncRNA from 1 species